rnacentral:rRNA from 1 species
CCUACGGGUGGCUGCAGUGGGGAAUAUUGGACAAUGGGCGAAAGCCUGAUCCAGCCAUGCCGCGUGUGUGAAGAAGGCCUUCGGGUUGUAAAGCACUUUCAGUGGGGAAGAAAGCCUUGGGGCUAAUACCCUCGAGGAAGGACAUCACCCACAGAAGAAGCACCGGCUAACUCCGUGCCAGCAGCCGCGGUAAUACGGAGGGUGCGAGCGUUAAUCGGAAUUACUGGGCGUAAAGCGCGCGUAGGCGGUCUGAUAAGCCGGUUGUGAAAGCCCCGGGCUCAACCUGGGAACGGCAUCCGGAACUGUCAGGCUAGAGUGCAGGGGAGGAAGGUAGAAUUCCCGGUGUAGCGGUGAAAUGCGUAGAGAUCGGGAGGAAUACCAGUGGCGAAGGCGGCCUUCUGGACUGACACUGACGCUGAGGUGCGAAAGCGUGGGUAGCAAACAGGAUUAGAUCCCGAGUAGUC